GCCCGGAUGGCGGAAUUGGCAGACGCGUCGGACUCAAAAUCCGAUUCUUGUACUAGAGUGAGGGUUCGACCCCCUCUCCGGGCACCA
rnacentral:tRNA from 1 species